rnacentral:rRNA from 1 species
GACGUAGGGGGCUAGCGUUGUCCGGAUUAUUGGGCGUAAAGAGCGUGUAGGCGGCCAGGUAGGUCUGCUGUGAAAACUCGAGGCUCAACCUCGAGACGUCGGCGGAAACCAUCUGGCUAGAGUCCGGAAGAGGAGAGUGGAAUUCCUGGUGUAGCGGUGAAAUGCGCAGAUAUCAGGAAGAACACCCGUGGCGAAGGCGGCCUCUCUGGGACGGUACUGACGCUGAGACGCGAAAGCGUGGGGAGCGAACAGG